rnacentral:rRNA from 1 species
AACGAACGCUGGCGGCAUGCCUAACACAUGCAAGUCGAACGAGACCUUCGGGUCUAGUGGCGCACAGGUGCGUAACGCGUGGGAACCUGCCCUUAGGUUCGGAAUAACUCCCCGAAAGGGGUGCUAAUACCGGAUAAUGUCUUCGGACCAAAGAUUUAUCGCCUUUGGAUGGGCCCGCGUUGGAUUAGCUAGUUGGUAGGGUAAAAGCCUACCAAGGCGACGAUCCAUAGCUGGUCUGAGAGGAUGAUCAGCCACACUGGGACUGAGACACGGCCCAGACUCCUACGGGAGGCAGCAGUAGGGAAUAUUGGACAAUGGGCGAAAGCCUGAUCCAGCAAUGCCGCGUGAGUGAUGAAGGCCUUAGGGUUGUAAAGCUCUUUUACCCGGGAUGAUAAUGACAGUACCGGGAGAAUAAGCUCCGGCUAACUCCGUG